rnacentral:rRNA from 1 species
UACAGAGGUCUCAAGCGUUGUUCGGAUUCAUUGGGCGUAAAGGGUGCAUAGGUGGUUGGGUAAGUCAAAUGUGAAAUCCCGGAGCUCAACUCCGGAACUGCAUUCGAUACUGCCCGGCUCGAGGAUUGGAGAGGAGACUGGAAUUCACGGUGUAGCAGUGAAAUGCGUAGAGAUCGUGAGGAACACCCGUGGCGAAGGCGGGUCUCUGGACAAUUCCUGACACUGAGGCACGAAGGCCAGGGGAGAAAACGGG